rnacentral:rRNA from 1 species
GAUGAACGCUAGCUACAGGCUUAACACAUGCAAGUCGAGGGGCAGCAUCAUCAAGGCUUGCUUUGAUGGAUGGCGACCGGCGCACGGGUGAGUAACACGUAUCCAACCUGCCGACAACACUGGGAUAGCCUUUCGAAAGAAAGAUUAAUACCGGAUGGCAUAGUUUUCCCGCAUGGGAUAAUUAUUAAAGAAUUUCGGUUGUCGAUGGGGAUGCGUUCCAUUAGGCAGUUGGCGGGGUAACGGCCCACCAAACCUACGAUGGAUAGGGGUUCUGAGAGGAAGGUCCCCCACAUUGGAACUGAGACACGGUCCAAACUCCUACGGGAGGCAGCAGUGAGGAAUAUUGGUCAAUGGACGAGAGUCUGAACCAGCCAAGUAGCGUGAAGGAUGACUGCCCUAUGGGUUGU